rnacentral:lncRNA from 1 species
CAGAUUUCCCUGAUAUCUCUUAAUCUCUUUACUUCCACACCACAACACAUCACUGAUCCUUCUCUUCUCAUUCUCAGACACAGCAGCACAAACACAACACAACACACAAAAGUACUAUCUCUUCGAUGGCUCAGACUAUGCUGCUUACCUCCGGUGUCUCCGCCGGCCAAUUCUUGAGGAACAAGAACCCUUUGGCUCAGCCCAAAGUUCACCAACUCUUCCUCUCUGGAACCUCCCCGGUUGCUCUACCAUCGAGGAGACAAUCAUUUGUUCCUCUUGCUCUCUUCAAACCUAAAACCAAAGCUGCUCCCAAGAAGGU